rnacentral:rRNA from 1 species
AGAACGAACGCUGGCGGCAUGCCUAACACAUGCAAGUCGAACGCUUCCGGGGCUUCGGUCGCGGAGGAGUGGCGCACGGGUGAGUAGCGCGUGGGAACCUGCCCUGUUGUGGGGGAUAACCGAGGGAAACUUCGGCUAAUACCGCAUACGCCCCGGGACUUGGUCUUCGGAUUAGGUCUGGGGGGAAAGAUUGAUCGCAGCAGGAGGGGCCCGCGUCGGAUUAGCUGGUUGGUGGGGUAACGGCUCACCAAGGCGAUGAUCCGUAGCUGGUCUGAGAGGAUGAUCAGCCACACUGGGACUGAGACACGGCCCAGACUCCUACGGGAGGCAGCAGUGGGGAAUAUUGGACAAUGGGGGCAACCCUGAUCCAGCAAUGCCGCGUGAGUGAUGAAGGCCUUAGGGUUGUAAAGCUCUUUCGCCCGCGACGAUGAUGACGGUAGCGGGAGAAGAAGCCCCGGCUAACUUCGUGCCAGCAGCCGCGGU